AUGCCCUGGUCACAGCUGUAUGUUGUGUGCAUGGAAUAAUGGAAUAGGACCUCGGUUCUAUUUUGUUGGUUUUCGGAAUCUGAGGUAAUGAUCAAUGGGGACAGGCGGGGGCAUUCGUAUUGCGACGUUAGAGGUGAAAUUCUUGGAUCGUCGCAAGACGGACCGAAGCGAAAGCAUUUGCCAAGUAUGUUCUCGUCGAUCAAGAACGAAAGUUAGAGGUUCGAAGGCGAUCAGAUACCGCCCUAGUUCUAACCAUAAACUAUGCCUGCCAGCGAUCCGCCGAAGUUCCUCCGAUGACUCGGCGGGCAGCUUCCGGGAAACCAGAGCUUUUGGGUUCCGGGGGAAGUAUGGUUGCAAAGCUGAAACUUAAAGGAAUUGACGGAAGGGCACCACCAGGAGUGGAGCCUGCGGCUUAAUUUGACUCAACACGGGAAAACUCACCAGGCCCGGACACCGGAAGGAUUGACAGAUUGAGAGCUCUUUCUUGAUUCGGUGGGUGGUGGUGCAUGGCCGUUCUUAGUUGGUGGAGCGAUUUGUCUGGUUAAUUCCGAUAACGAACGAGACUCUAGCCUACUAACUAGGCGUACCCGGUAUCCACAAUCGUGCUACCGGCGAUCAAAUUUCUUCUUAGAGGGACAGGCGGCUUCUAGCCGCACGAGACUGAGCAAUAACAGGUCUGUGAUGCCCUUAGAUGUCCUGGGCCGCACGCGCGCUACACUGAAGGAAUCAGCGUGUCUUCCCUGUCCGAAAGGACCGGGUAAUCCGCUGAACCUCCUUUGUGCUAGGGAUUGGGGCUUGCAAUUGUUCCCCAUGAACGAGGAAUCCCAGUAAGCGCGAGUCAAUGGCG
rnacentral:rRNA from 1 species